rnacentral:rRNA from 1 species
AUUGAACGCUGGCGGCAUGCUUUACACAUGCAAGUCGAACGGUAACAGGUUAAGCUGACGAGUGGCGAACGGGUGAGUAAUGCAUCGGAACGAGCCCGAUCGUGGGGGAUAACGCAGCGAAAGCUGCGCUAAUACCGCAUACGAUCUGAGGAUGAAAGCGGGGGACCGUAAGGCCUCGCGCGAUCGGAGCGGCCGAUGACAGAUUAGGUAGUUGGUGGGGUAAAGGCCCACCAAGCCGACGGUCUGUAGCUGGUCUGAGAGGACGACCAGCCACACUGGGACUGAGACACGGCCCAGUAUCCUACGGGAGGCAGCAGUGGGGAAGUGUGGACAAUGGGCGAAAGCCUGAUCCAGCAAUGCCGCGUGCAGGAAGAAGGCCUUCGGGUUGUAAACUGCUUUUGUACGGAGCGAAAAGGUCCUUUCUAAUACAAGGGGCUCAUGACGGUACUGUAAGAAUAAGCACCGGCUAACUACGUGCCAGCCGCCGCAGUAA